GGAUGAACGCUGGCGGCGUACCUAAUACAUGCAAGUCGAGCGAACAGAUGAGGAGCUUGCUCCUCUGACGUUAGCGGCGGACGGGUGAGUAACACGUGGAUAACCUACCUAUAAGACUGGGAUAACUUCGGGAAACCGGAGCUAAUACCGGAUAAUAUAUUGAACCGCAUGGUUCAAUAGUGAAAGACGGUUUUGCUGUCACUUAUAGAUGGAUCCGCGCCGCAUUAGCUAGUUGGUAAGGUAACGGCUUACCAAGGCGACGAUGCGUAGCCGACCUGAGAGGGUGAUCGGCCACACUGGAACUGAGACACGGUCCAGACUCCUACGGGAGGCAGCAGUAGGGAAUCUUCCGCAAUGGGCGAAAGCCUGACGGAGCAACGCCGCGUGAGUGAUGAAGGUCUUCGGAUCGUAAAACUCUGUUAUUAGGGAAGAACAAAUGUGUAAGUAACUAUGCACGUCUUGACGGUACCUAAUCAGAAAGCCACGGCUAACUACGUG
rnacentral:rRNA from 1 species